AUUGAACGCUGGCGGCAUGCCUUACACAUGCAAGUCGAACGGCAGCACGGGUGCUUGCACCUGGUGGCGAGUGGCGAACGGGUGAGUAAUACAUCGGAACAUGUCCUGUAGUGGGGGAUAGCCCGGCGAAAGCCGGAUUAAUACCGCAUACGAUCUACGGAUGAAAGCGGGGGACCUUCGGGCCUCGCGCUAUAGGGUUGGCCGAUGGCUGAUUAGCUAGUUGGUGGGGUAAAGGCCUACCAAGGCGACGAUCAGUAGCUGGUCUGAGAGGACGACCAGCCACACUGGGACUGAGACACGGCCCAGACUCCUACGGGAGGCAGCAGUGGGGAAUUUUGGACAAUGGGCGAAAGCCUGAUCCAGCAAUGCCGCGUGUGUGAAGAAGGCCUUCGGGUUGUAAAGCACUUUUGUCCGGAAAGAAAUCCUUGGCCCUAGUACGGUCGGGGGAUGACGGUACCGGAAGAAUAAGCACCGGCUAACUACGUG
rnacentral:rRNA from 1 species